GGGGCUGCAGGGGGAAGAGGCAGGAAGAAAAUGUCAGCAUCUAGGAAAAGGAAGGGCCUGAAUGGAGACCUGGCUGCUCUUGCUUUUCCUCGAUAGCUCUCUCUAGGGUUGGGGCCUUCACAGAGGAGGCCCAGGCUUCCAGAGACUGCUGCCUCAGGUCCCUGGGUCUGUGUAUGAAGCCCUGUUCCUGGGCACCAUGGCCGUGUCCCACCCGUGCCGCCUUCAUCCCCUCUCCCCCUGCCCCACAGCAGCUGACCUGGGUGAUGGUCAGUGUGGUCCUGUUGACCUGCUGUGCCUGCAGAGCAGCCUGGGCCCGGGCCUUGACCACAUGGGAGCAGAGGAGGGGCCCGAGGGACCCAAAUUCUGCCCGAUAGGCAUCCUGAUUGUCGGGCGGGGGGUGCAGCUUAGCCAGUACAGGUGCACAGUGUUUCUGCAGAGAGGAAGAAUAGAAGAAGGGGUGAGAGAGGGGACACCCACUGUUUCAGCGUGCCCUCACUGGAGUCAGACUGUGCUGGGCCUUCAGUGAGCAUAAGGAGUGGUGAGGGUCUCCCUCAGAGAAAAUCUGGGAGCCAACUGCCAUGACUGGAAGACUUGCCACGUACACUGGUAACGUGUGGGCCAGUUACUCCAUACAGCGUUUGUCUUACAGUGGGUCAUACAGUGAUUAAGACCCCUUAUUUCUUACUUAGCCCACCCGUGUCUGUAUUUCCAUCAGCAAAACAGCACCGGACUCUGAAAGGUGCUGGGAAUAAAUGCAGCAAAGAUGGGAAUAACUGUUCUCCCGUCAGGGGCCUAACAUCAUGUCCCAGCUCUGCCAGGCCUGCAAUGGAGCCAUAACGAGUUGUCCAGGGAGUCUUCUCGUCCACCCAGCUCUGCAGGGAAAGAAAAGAAACCCAGAUGAGUCGGUCUAAAGGCCAAGCACUACGGACCCAGGUCUUCUAGAAAUAAACUUUAUUAAAAUGGUGCAGAUGAGGCUUAAGGCCCUUAGACCAACCUC